GUGGGCUCAUGCUUGUAAUCCCAGCACUUUGGGAGGCUGAGGCGGACAGGCUGCUUGAGCUCAAGAGUUCCAGACUAGCAUCGGCAAAGCAGGGAGACCCCAUCUUUACAAAAAAAGUAGCCUGGCAUGGUGUUGUGAGCCCAUAGUCCCAGCUAAGUAGGGCAGAGGUAGGAGAAUCACUUGAGCCCAGGAGUUCCAGGCUGCAGUGAGCCGUGGUCGUGCCACUGGACUCCAGCCUGGGUGAAAGAGCAAGA
rnacentral:lncRNA from 10 species